GACGAACGCUGGCGGCGUGCCUAACACAUGCAAGUCGAACGAGGUCCAAGGGAGCUUGCCCCCUGACGACCUAGUGGCGAACGGGUGAGGAACACGUGAGUAACGUGCCUCGGAGCGGGGAAUAACACGGGGAAACCCGUGCUAAUACGGCACACCUUCAGAUGGUCGCAUGGCCGCCGGAUGGAAGAAUUUCGCUCUGAGAGGGUCUCGCGGGCUAUCAGCUAGUUGGGGGGGUAACGGCCUACCAAGGCAGCGACGGGUGGCUGGAUUGAGAGAUCGAUCAGCCACACUGGGACUGAGACACGGCCCAGACUCCUAAGGGAGGCAGCAGUGGGGAAUCUUGCGCAAUGGGCGAAAGCCUGGCGCAGCAACGCCGGGUGCGAGAUGACGGCCUUCGUGGUUGUAAACCGCUUUCAGCAGGGACGAAAUUGACGGUACCUGCAGAAGAAGCUCCGGCUAACUACGUGCCAGCAGCCGCAGUAAGAC
rnacentral:rRNA from 1 species